CCUACGGGCGGCAGCAGUGAGGAAUAUUGGUCAAUGGUCGGGAGACUGAACCAGCCAAGCCGCGUGAGGGAGGAAGGUACAGAGUAUCGUAAACCUCUUUUGUCAGGGAACAAAGGCGGGGACGUGUCCCCGGAUGAGUGUACCUGAAGAAAAAGCAUCGGCUAACUCCGUGCCAGCAGCCGCGGUAAUACGGAGGAUGCGAGCGUUAUCCGGAUUUAUUGGGUUUAAAGGGUGCGCAGGCGGUCUGUUAAGUCAGCGGGCAAAGCCCGGGGCUCAACCCCGGCCCGCCGUUGAAACUGGCAGUCUCGAGUUGGAGAGAAGUAUGCGGAAUGCGCGGUGUAGCGGUGAAAUGCAUAGAUAUCGCGCAGAACUCCGAUUGCGAAGGCAGCAUGCCGGCUCCACACUGACGCUGAGGCACGAAAGCGUGGGUAUCGAACAGGAUUAGAUACCCUUGUAGUC
rnacentral:rRNA from 1 species